UUUGUUUGCUAUGAUAAAAUUUUCUAAGGAAAUUAGUCUCUAAAUCCGUAUUUUAUUCCUUCCCUCAAUUAAUCUUAGAUGGUUUUGUUGUUCUUAUGGGAUUUUCAUAGUUAAAUUUAGGUGCUUAUUUAUGAAUCAAUAAAUUAAUUAUGGCUUUGUUUACUAUAAUUUUGGUUCAUCCGAUUCUUUAAAAUUGAGUUAGUAAUUGUUAUUGGUUUGCUUUGCUAUUAAAAUCUGUUAACUUUUGUUCCGAUAUGACAGAGGUGCUAGAAAU
rnacentral:lncRNA from 1 species